AUUAUCUAAAUCCCGUUGUUUCUGCUACUGAACAAAACCCGGAACAGUAUCAAUUUUAAGGUGUACGAACAGACUUAUCGUUAAAGUAAUUUUGUAAUGCAAAUUGCAUACAUUAAGGCACAGUUUCACAGUCGCCAAACGUCAAACAAUUUGUCAGAUAAAUGGUCGCAAGUUAUGCAAGUUAUUUUGUCGUAUUGACAAAAUUAUUUUGCAAUGAUGAUGUCUGUUUCUGAGCCUUAACAAAUCCUUCACCCGGGCACCAAUCAAAGGCACUAGUGCUAGCCGCCCUCGUUUGUAUCCACAGCAAGCUUCAACUCCGAACUCGCGUCCACUAAUUACUACUUAACCGAUUGAGCGAUCCUCGGCAAACGGUUUUGGAAGGCAUUCAUUACCAACCGCUAGUACCUACAGCUUCCUGGAGUAGCUUACAAAUAGUUCCAUUUAUUAUCUGCUACUAUCUUCCAAUUCAUCGAUAAAUCGAAACACAUAAGGUAUACUUAUCACCCCGUUGCCGUUCGUUAGCGUGUGGAGCGAAAGCUAAUCAGUACUAUUUGGUUCCAACCGCUUCUCCAACUCUGUUGCAGGUUCUCUUGGGUGUUUUUGCGACGUCCUUGACAUAGAUAUUGCUAUCAUUGCCGUUAUCAUUCGCAUACCCUUAUCGUUGAUCCACCUGAACGCGUUGGUCAUCACAAAAGCGACGAACGUUAUCAUAUUUUCCCCUUUGUCACUUCGUAACGUUCACUUUACAGAUGUGCAAAGAGAGUAAGAGUGAGAUAGUUAAAGAGGAUCCGCCUCUGCUUUUAACUUUUUUUUGUUUAAAGCAUUACUUGAGUGAAAAGAAACACAUUGCAACCAAUUGGCAUUAAAAUAAAACAAUUUAAUUUUUUUUGCAAAAUUUCUCAAAAAAAACGUAAGGGGUAAGCCUUAUGAAAUUUUCGAGUUAAAAUUUUUUUAAAAAUUUUUUUCUGAUUUUUAAUUCUUUUUUUAAUUUAAAGCAUUAUUUGAGUGAAAAGAAACUUAUUGCAACAAAUUUGCAUUAAAAUAUAUCACAUUUUAAAAUUUUGCUACAUUGCUCAAAAAUGAGGAAAAUUUUACAUUUUCUCAAACAGGGUAUGGAACUUGGUUUCUCAGAUAGCUUCUAGCAUAGACAUCUGAGGACAUGGCCGUCCAAGAAGAAAAUGUAGCCAUUGGUAUCAUCUAUCGACCACAGGUUAAAGAUUGGCGAUUCGUUGGAUACCGACCGAGUUAUAGCCAAAACUUGGUGCAAAAAUGAGGAAAAUUUUGCAUUUUCUCAAACAGGUUAUGGAACUUGGUUCCUCAGAUAGCUUCUAUCAUAGACAUCUGAGGGCAUGGCCGUCCAAGAAGAAAAUGUAGCCAUUGGUGCCAUCUAUCGACCACAGGUUAAAGAUUGGCGAUCCGUUGGAUACCGACCGAGUUAUAGCCAAAACUUGGUGCAAAAAUGAGGAAAAUUUUGCAUUUUCUCAAACAGGUUAUGGAACUUGGUUCCUCAGAUAGCUUCUAUCAUAGACAUCUGAGGGCAUGGCCGUCCAAGAAGAAAAUGUAGCCAUUGGUGCCAUCUAUCGACCACAGGUUAAAGAUUGGCGAUCCGUUGGAUACCGACCGAGUUAUAGCCAAAACUUGGUGCAAAAAUGAGCCUUAGUAAAUUUUUAUUUGUUUGAAUUUUUUGAUUUUUUUAUUACUUUUCACUCUUUUUUUUAUUUAAAGCAUUACUUGAGUGAAAAGAAACACAUUGCAACCAAUUGGCAUUAAAAUAAAUCAAUUUAAUUUUUUUUUCAAAUUUUUUCAAAAAAAUGGCAAGGGGUACCCCUUAUGAAAUUUUCGAGUUGAAAAUUUUUAAAACAUUUUUUUCUGAUUUUUUAUUCUUUUUUUAAUUUGAAGCAUUAUUUGAGUGAAAAGAAACUUAUUGCAACAAAUUCGCAUUCAAAUAUAUCACAUUUAAAAAUUUUGCUACAUUGCUCAAAAAUGAGGAAAAUUUUACAUUUUCUCAAACAGGGUAAGGAACUUGGUUUCUCAGAUAACUUCUAGCAUAGACAUCUGAGGGCAUGUCCGUCCAAGAAGAAAAUGUAGCCAUUGGUGCCAUCUAUCGACCACAGGUUAAAGAUUGGCGAUCCGUUGGAUACCGACCGAGUUAUAGCCAAAACUUGGUGCAAAAAUGAGGAAAAUUUUGCAUUUUCUCAAACAGGGUAUGGAACAUGGCUUCUCAGAUAACUUCUAGCAUAGACAUCUGAGGGCAUGUCCGUCCAAGAAGAAAAUGUAGCCAUUGGUGCCAUCUAUCGACCACAGGUUAAAGAUUGGCGAUCCGUUGGAUACCGACCGAGUUAUAGCCAAAACUUGGUGCAAAAAUGAGCCUUAGUAAAUUUUUAUUUGUUUGAAUUUUUUGAUUUUUUUAUUACUUUUCACUCUUUUUUUUAUUUAAAGCAUUACUUGAGUGAAAAGAAACACAUUGCAACCAAUUGGCAUUAAAAUAAAUCAAUUUAAUUUUUUUUUCAAAUUUUUUCAAAAAAAUGGCAAGGGGUACCCCUUAUGAAAUUUUCGAGUUGAAAAUUUUUAAAACAUUUUUUUCUGAUUUUUUAUUCUUUUUUUAAUUUGAAGCAUUAUUUGAGUGAAAAGAAACUUAUUGCAACAAAUUCGCAUUCAAAUAUAUCACAUUUAAAAAUUUUGCUACAUUGCUCAAAAAUGAGGAAAAUUUUACAUUUUCUCAAACAGGGUAUGGAACUUGGCUUCCCAGAUAACUUCUAGUAUAGACAUCUGAGGGCAUGUCCGUCCAAGAAGAAAAUGUAGCCAUUAAUACCAUCUAUCGACCACAGGUUAAAGAUUGGCGAUCCGUUGGAUACCGACCGAGUUAUAGCCAAAACUUGGUGCAAAAAUGAGCCUUAGUAAAUUUUUAUUUUUUUGAAUUUUUUGAUUUUUUUAUUAUUUUUCACUCUUUUUUUUAUUUAAAGCAUUACUUGAGUGAAAAGAAACACAUUGCAAUCAAUUGGCAUUAAAAUAAAUCAAUUUAAUUUUUUUCCUAAUUUUCUCAAAAAAAUGGCAAGGGGUACCCCUUAUGAAAUUUUCGAGUUGAAAAUUUUAAAAAAAAUUUUUUCUGAUUUUUUAUUCUUUUUUUAAUUUGAAGCAUUAUUUGAGUGAAAAGAAACUUAUUGCAACAAAUUCGCAUUCAAAUAUAUCACAUUUAAAAAUUUUGCUACAUUGCUCAAAAAUGAGGAAAAUUUUACAUUUUCUC